GGGGGGGGGGGGGGGGGGGCGGGGGGCGGGGAGGUCGGGCGAGGAGGUGGGGGGCUUGCGCCUGGGCCGUUGGCGGCGGCCGGGGGAGUACCCCGUGGCUACCCUACCUCUAAGGCUGGGGUAACUUCUGGAACCCGGCGCUACUCCCGGAUACUAUAUUGACCCGCAUGGUUCCAUAUUGAAAGACGUUUUUGCUUUCACUUCUAGAUGGAUCCUCUCCGCAUUAGCUAGUUGGUAAGUUCACGGCUUACCAAGGCAACGAUGCGGAGCCGACCUGAGAGGGUGAUCGGCCACACUGGAACUGAGACACGGUCCAGACUCCUACGGGAGGCAGCAGUAGGGAAUCUUCCGCAAUGGGCGAAAGCUUGACGGAGCAACGCCGCGUGAGUGAUGAAGGUCUUCGGAUCGUAAAACUCUGUGAUUAGGGAAGAACAAAUGUGUAAGUAACUAUGCACGUCUUGACGGUACCUAAUCAGAAAGCCACGGCUAACUACGUG
rnacentral:rRNA from 1 species